rnacentral:lncRNA from 1 species
CCCAGCCUGGCCAAGAACCAACCAGUAAGGAUGAAGAGGAGAAAGUUAAGAGCAGGUAGGUUAAACAGGGCCACAGCCGUGGAAGGAUGGAGGCAGAUCUGUCACACAUGCUAAAAACACAGCCGCUCUGAGUUCAGCCUUCAAAAAAAAAAAAAAACCACAAGAUUAUAAGUCAGUUUCGCAACCUGAAAGAACGGGGGCAGACACGAGGGUGCCGGCCGCGCGGGCAGCGAGCGAUGGAAGGCGACGGGCCUGUGCGCUCCACACCCGGCCCACGAACUCGGGCCAAGGCCCCACGGCCGCGUGGCCGCCUCGUGCCGGCGUCCCGCGCAGCCCCGAGCCCCGGCGGCCGCCCCGCCGCACCUUGAUGCGGUUCAGCACGCCGCUGUUCUCCAGCGUCUGCACCAGCAGGUCGCGCAGCUCCGUGUCUUCCUCGGCCACCACCGCGGCGGUAGUCGCCGCCAUCUUGCUUCUCCAAG